UUUCGAUAAGUUUGAAAUAACACCCUUAAGACUAAGGGCCUUCGCCAUCAGAGUAAAAGCAGGAUUCGACCUCUUUUGAAUAAUGACGGGAUGUUAUUUCGAUAAGUUAGAAAUAACACCAUUAAGGCUAAGAGCCUUCGCUAUCAAAGUAAAAGGAGGAUUCGACCUCGUUCGAAUCACGAUGGGAUGUUAUUUCGAUAAGUUCGAAAUAACACCCUUAAGUCUAAGGGCCUUCGCCAUCAGAGUAAAAACAGGAUUUGACCUUGUUAGAAUCACGACGGAUAGUUAUUUCGAUAAGUUCGAAAUAACACCCUUAAGGCUAAGGGGUUUCUCCAUCAGAGUAAAAGUAGGGUUCGACCUCGUUCGAAUCAUGACGAGAUGUUAUUUCGAUAAGUUUGAAAUAACACCCUCAAGGCUAGAGAGCUUCGCCAUCAAAGUAAAAGUAGGAUUCGACCUCGUUCGAAUCAUGACGGGUUGUUAUUUCGAUAAG
rnacentral:lncRNA from 1 species